UGUGGGAGUACAUCAUGACCUUCCUUACUUCCAUGCCUUGGUCUCUACUGUCUUGCAUGGCUGAGAAGUGUGAGCGUAGCUCCCAGCUCCAGCCUCAAAGGAGUCGCACCUUUAAAGCCUUGGAAGAAUUCCACGUGUUUGCCUGAAUGUCACUUUGAGAGUGGUUUCACAUUGAU
rnacentral:lncRNA from 12 species